UGAGCUGGCAGUUUUUCUUAACCUCUCCUUUCUACAGUGCUUCCCAAAGUGGCAGUUUUUCUUUUUAAAGUUCUUGGUAGCUAUGGUGUUGGUAGAAGUGGGAUCAAAAUAGAAAACAACAACAAUGCAAAGUAUUGAUGGUUAAAAGGCAACUUUGCUCUUUAACUUUACUUUUCUUGUAAAUUAUGAAGAGAACUAAGAAUGGUCACAGUCAAAAAUUAUCUCCUAAAUUGCCUGCUCUACAACCCCAGGGAGAAGACAAAAAGAAACUCUAAGCCAACCUAGUCUGCCUGGAUGAACAUGACUCCAAAUACUAGACAGUUUGAACAGCCCCUCCUUUUGGACAUUGGAGUCGAUGAAGACAUCAGGAUUGCUAGAAGGGAAUUUUGUCCUUUGUCUUCUGCCCCACAUCAUUUCCGACUUCUCAAACUUUCACCAUGUGUUACAAUCCAGAACACUAUGUAAUUCCGGAUGCCUUUAACUCACUAUGUAGCCCAUGCUGGCCUCCAACUCCUGACAAUUCUCCUGCCUCAACCUCCUGAGUGCUGGGAUUAUAAAUACACAUCAUGAUGCUUGGCUAA